GUUUUUUUUGAGGCUUCUUCUGGUCACGGAUCCCUGAUGUUCUUUCCACCGAAGCUGGAUUCCUCUCUGUUUGCCCUGGUGCCUGGUUCCCUGGUCCACUGCCUCAACUAACAGCGCUGCAACGGUUCCAUUGGGUGGUUUGAUAUGGACGCUGAGUAUUGAAGGGGUGGUUGGACAGUUAAAAUAUUUGAGUGCACUCAAGGGUAACAUUUUUUUUCUUUGAAAGAUUUUCCCUUUUGUUUUGUUUCAUGAGAUCUCAAAAGUUGUGCCUGAUUUGUUAACAUCAGUGGUACUAAUGCUAUGUGAACUGAACUAAAUAUUGAAUUUUGAACAAGGAAAUAAGGAAAUUAAUUUGAAUAAGAGCUACAUUCAAACUUUAAUCUAUUGCCCUGUGCUUCUUUUGGAAUGGAAUCUGUGAGUCUUUUGACCAUAUGAUUAGUACAUAACCAACCUCCUCAUCGAAUCUAGAUUUAGAUAACUCCUACAAUAGAUUCUUAGCCUGCCUAUAAGCAGAACUACCACCGUAGGGUUACAUAUAUAUAUAUAUAUAUAUAUAUAUUUGGAUACACACAGUAUGAAACUUUCAUAUCGCAAUUUGCUAUAAAUGACAUUUAUGCAAGUUCUAAGUUAUUAGUGUUUUUAAAGAUGGUAAGUUAAUCUUAAUGUAAAAAUAGGGGAAAGAGCUUAAACUUGGGGUGUCGCGAUAUACCGGUAUUGACGAUAACCGUGAUAUUCAAAGCAACAAUUAACUAUAUCAUGUUAAUUUAAUGUGUGACAAUAUACCAGUAUUAGCGAUAACCGCAAUAUUUUAAAUGAACAGUUCUCUUAUGAUAACCCCACAUGUAAAUAACUCCAGCUCCCGUACCUGGUUGAGCUCCCAGGUGGCAGUAUUGUGCCUUAACACUGACACCUGUCACACAAGAAGACGACACAGAGGUGCAGCCACUCAGAGCUUCAUAAAAGACGGAGAAAGCCAGAGUCUUGUGCCCUGCGUUUAUCAGUAUCCUUUUGUUCGUUGGGUGAAAAAGAAAAACUCAAUAAACAAAGUAAAAAAUAAUUUGACUGAUAUCCCCCCUGCCCCCACCCAAGGUUUCUAUAGAUAUCACGAUAUAUCGAUAUCGUGAAUUUUUUAUGGCCACAAUAACCGUUAUAUGAAAAAUCUAAUAUCGUGACAGCCCUACCUUAAACAUGAGCUUUUAAAUAUCUUUUAUCGACUGAUUUCAUUAAAUAAAAAAAUACAAUACGAAAAACUAAUAAUGGCC
ensembl:lncRNA